UUUACCCAAAUACAAAAGCCUAAACGGCAGGCCCACUAUUACAUCCUACCCAGAUACACUAAAACUAAGACCCAUUACAACAGACCCAAGUGGACCCAGGACAAAACAGGCCCAAGUGGCCCAGCUUGUUACACCAAGGCAUGAAACCCUAGGGUUUCUGCCUCUCUCCUUGCGCCGCAAACAGAAGGUUUCAGAAGCCAAGCCUCAUGACUCUUCAGCUCUUGCUGUUCCAGCUACCCCGUCAAGGCCAUGAUUCCAGGCCCCAAGUCACGCCGAGAUCAACGCCACCAGUGGACCAUCGUCAGGCCUUUGUUAUUGCCGAAUUUUUCGCAAGUACCUGCAAGAAAAGGAAAGAAAAUCACAGCAAACAUGCGAAGCAAAUACGGAAAGAAAUCGAUGAUUUCUUUCCAAAACUUGUAGUAGUAAAGGUUAUAAAGCGUUCUUUUUAAUCUGUAAAAGGACACGGAGGCAGAGACCAAAAAAUAUUGUACACAGAGUUUUUUUUUUGCAAUAAUAUACCAGAGAUCUUUUACAGAAGACAAAGGUGACAUAUUUUUAUUUUCGUUUCAUUCUCUUGAUCAUGAGCUUAUGCAUAUAAUAUAUUAAAUAGAUAGAAAGAGUAUACCUGGAGAAUCACCUUGAAAAGCGAAACUUUUCAAGAUCCGACCGUCGUGUGUGGCGGAGUCGGUGGCGGCGCGUGGAUCAGCGCGGAGGUCCGAUGACCAGAACUGACCGGCUAAACGCCGGAGCUCAGGAGACUAGGGAUCCUCUUCAGAGGAUUUUUUUUUUAGAAACUGGGCUUCUAAAUGAUUUUAAAGCUAAAGAUUUGGCUUAUAUAGCCUUGUCAAAACGACAGCGUUUUAGACCCUCAGGAUCCGCGUGUUGACCCGAUUACCCGGGGAGGAUCCGCGCGUUUUUAUAACUGGGUUAAUUGCUCAAUUAAUCCUUCUGCUCCUUUUUGUGUUUACAAUUAAAACCUUAUUUUAUGAUUCGGCCCUGCUAUUUUAUUUUAGUUUUUAAUUUGGUCCUGACAAUUGUUAAAUCUCAUUUUGGGAAACGUCGCCGUUUUGGGAAUAGGUAUUUUUCCCAGUGAGUCCCUCUAAUUUUACGCGCGUUUUAAAUAGGGCCUCAAUUCAGUUUUGCUUCUUUGAAAUUCGCCUUGUAAUUUUGUUAAACUUUAAAUUUAGUCCUAUAUUUAUUAUUCUAUAUAUAUUAUUAUUUGUUUUAUUUUAAUUUUACUUUUAUAGAAUAUAUUAUAAAAUUAUUAUAAGUAUUAUUUUAAUUAUAUAUUAUUACUGCUUAUUAUGUAUUAUUUUUCUUAAAUAUUAUUUUACAUCUCUUUUAUAUAUUAUUAUAUUUUCACAUAUAUUAUAUUUAUUAAUUAUAUAUAUAUAUUAUUUUAUAUGUUACUUUAUAUUAUAUCUAUUAUUUUUCUUAUAUGUUUAUAUUACAUUUUCUUAUAUAAUCUUUAUUAUGUUUUAUUUUUAUAUUAUUUAUUGUUUUUUUAUAUAUAUGUAUAUCAUGUAUCGCAAAUUAUAUUAUUUAUGUUUAUAUUAUAUAUAUAUUAUUUUAAAAAUAAAAAUUAUUGUUAUUAAAUCAUAUUCUUAACUCACAUUAUAUACACAUUUCAUUUUUUUUAUUCACUAUACAUAUAUCAUUUCAUUUUAAAUUAAUAUUGUUAUAUUAUGAAAUCUCUUACAUACUUUCAAACCAAUAUAUUAUUAUAUAAUUAUUAUUCUUUUAUUCUUGUUACUAUGUUAUUAUAUUAUAUAUUAAAUACUAUGGAUAUGAAGUGUCUUCUUUUAAAUUGUAUGUAUAUUUUGUUAGCAAUCAUUUUUUUAUUUGUUCUUCUAUAUGUUGUAUGCGUCAUGGAUGUCUUAAGUUUAUUUUUAUUAUAAUUAUAUGCAAAUUAACACUAUAUUUCUUCUAUUUGUAUAUCAUACAUUAUUUGCUUAUGUUUUUUUAUGUCAUGCAUCAUUUAAAUAUUAAUCCGUAUGUUUAUAUACUUUGUUUAUUCGUUUUCAAUACAUGCUAUAUAUAUCUUUGUUUGCAUUUUUUUUUUGCUUUUAAUGUAUUAUUCUUUUAUUGUAGUAUUCAUUUUUUUUAUAUACCUAGUACGAUAAUAUAUUAUUAUGAUUUAUAAUGUAAUACAAUUCUCCACACAUCUUCAAAAAGACAAGGCUCCAAAAUUUUCAAAAAAAUAUAAAGGCAAUGCUUGAUGUUUGGAAAUUUCGAAAAAGUAGUGCCCUAACUUAUUGGGUUGCAACUUUUCCCGUUAAGUUCGAAUAGUCAAGUAUCCUUCUAAGUUUUUAAAAGUUUUCAAAAUAUAAGUGACUAUCUUGGAAUCGAAAAGUGAUAUGUCCUAACUUACUGGAUGUAGCAUUUUUCUGUUUCGAGAUAGGGAUUUCUAAAAGGCUAACUUAUGGCCAAUACUUUGAUAUAAGUGAACCUAAGUUUUCAAAUACUUUAAAGAGGAUCACAUCUUAAGAUUUUUUAAAUUUCCGACAUUAAAGACAUUUGAUAAUCAAUUAGGUACCAAUUUUUGGGCGUUACGAGAGUGCUAAUCCUUCCUCGUACGUAACCGACUCCCGAACCCAUUCUUUUAUUUCGUGGACCAAAACGAAUGGUUUUAAAAAAAAUGUUUUAAAGGUGAUCCAAUCACACCUAAAAAGAUUGGUGGCGCUCCCGUUUUCGUUUUUUAAAAUCGAUUCCCAUUUUCCAAAACUCGAUUUGACAAUGGUUUCGACAGCUUGGCGACUCCACUGGGUACUAAUAAGAGAGUCAAGCUGUGUGAUUGGUUAUCUCUUGUCUUGAUGUCAGAAAUUUAAAAAAUUUUAAGAUUUAAUCCUCUUUGCAUUACAUGUGUUUGUAUUAUUGCAUGUGUUGCUAUAUUCUAAUACGCAUUGCAUUUGCAUGACCGUUGUGGUCACAACCUUAAGUGAGAGUGAGAAGCUACGCCUUCGUGAGGUUUUCACCUCCGUGCAGGAUAGUGGAUCACUUUCGGGAUACAUCCGUACCUAUGGUUUCGUGAGAUUUUCAUCUCCGUGUAGCCAUAGGGAAAUGUAUUCCCCUGAACUGAACUCGAUUCAAAUGAGCCUAUAAUGGGUGAGGAUCGAGGAAUCUGCUGGUUCAGGUACCUCAAACUUUAGAACCAACCUCAUAUAGAAAAAACCAUAAGAGCCCAAUUUAGUUAGAGUUAAACUUUAGAUAUUACCCUUAUAAAUUAUUGUUGAGAUUUAUUGAUAUCAUGUGAUACUGACUAUUUCUCUUCUUUUGUUUGCAUGACAUUUUGCAUUUACAAAGGUAUCGAUUCACGGUCAGUGUCUAAAUUAGAGAGUUUUAUUAUGGAGAACGGACUUCUUGAUAGAGUGGAGGGCAACGCCAACGUCCAUAGAUGGUCUGAGCAAACUCAGUUAGAAAAGGGAGAUAGUAUAGCUGCGGGAUAUAUGUCGGAGCUGUCAGGAUAUACUCGCAUCAAUGUUAUGCAGAAUAAUCUCCAAGAGCUUAAGGAGAUUUGGGAUCAAUGGGGCAACGAGACUAAACAGUUAUUCUACGGUAAUUACGGAGACUUACCUUACUUGCUCGAUGUUCAAAUAGAUGAGCACUUGUUUCGAGCCUUUGCUCAGUUUUGGAAUCCAGCUUACAGUUGCUUUACUUUCGGGGAGGUAGAUUUGGCGCCUACCGUAGAGGAGUACACUGCUUUGUUACGUUGUCCCAGGUUCCAGGAAGAUAGAAUUUAUUCUAGAGCUGUUAAUGUCCCUACCUUUUGGAAGAAAUUGAUGGCUAUUACAGGGAUGAGCGAGCAGUGGAUUACUGCCAGAAUUAAAGAGAAGGGCGAGUGCAAGUGCAUUUCAUGGGAUGCUUUGAAGGAUCUGAUUUUGACACACCCUGAUGAAGCAAAAAGGGUAGAUGUUUUUGCCUUAAGUUUGUACGGAUUGAUGGUGUUCCCUAGGGCUUUGGGAUAUGUGGAUGAGGCAACCACGGAUCUUUUCCAUAGACUCAGUAAGAGGGUCACCUCUGUCCCUGCAAUAUUGGCAGAGACAUUCAGGUCCUUAGGCGCAUGUAGGAAAGCUGGCGCAGGCAGGUUUGUUGGUUGUGCACAAUUGCUUCUAGCUUGGUUCUAUAGUCAUUUUCGGUUGAUAGAUAAGGUCGUUUGUCGGGUUUUCUUCGAGGAUUACACACCGCUGAAGGACAUAGUCACUUCAAUUAGGAGAGUUGAUGUUCUAGAGGAGAAUUGGAUUGCACUACUUCAAAAUCUUUAGUCGAAAGAUGUUGAGUGGAGAGCUCCGUGGAUGAUUCCUGGUGAGGUUCUUUACCGUUGUGGCAGUUUCAAUUGGGUCCCUUUAUUAGGAAUUUGGGGUGCCAUUGGUUAUGCUCCCUUACUCGUGUUAAGGCAAUUCGGUUUGAGGCAGUUCGUGCCAGCAACUCAUGGGCUAACUCAAAGUGAGUUCGCAUAUAGAGGAGCCGAUUACAAGAAAAGGGUCAGUGAGAUCUCUAGCGCUUGGAACAAGACAUGUCGGUUGAAAGGAGUAGCUAUUGGCCCUACUACGACUCCAGAAUAUGUUGAAUGGAGAGGUAGAAGGAUCAAUGAUAACAUUCCUGAGCCAAAUAUGGAAGGAGCUCGACCGAUGGAGGAAUAUCUACAAGUGAUGCCUUCGGAGUUAGAAAUUAUGAAGCAAGAAUUUGAGAGGAAAAAUCUGGAGCUCGAGAAAAGGAUAGCAAAGCUUGAAGAAGAAAAGAUGUACUUGAGUUUAGAUAUUGAUGUCCAGAAGAUGGAGGUCGAAAAAGAAAGAAAGGAAAAGAGGAAGAUUGAGGAGGAUAGAGAUGACUUGAAGGAACACUACAAAAAGGCACAAGUAUCCUUAAGAAGAGCGAAAGUAGGAGGAUCUUUAGAUCAGUUGCAGAAAGAGGUCCAAGAAGGCAAGGCUAGAGCUGAGCACUAGGAGAAGAGGUUUUAGGUGAUGCAAUCACGGAAUUUGGCAUUAGAAGAAGAGAAUAAAGGGUUGAAGUCUAAAGUAACUGAGCUUGGAAGAUCCCUUUGUUGGCAUUGCAACCAUGAUUCUACGGUCGAGUUAAAGGAGCUAAAGAGUAAAGUUGAAGAUUUGGAAGCAGCAUUACAGGAAGGUAAACUUCAGAUCGAGCAACUCGAGGCACAAGGAGACUAUCUAAAGAGAGAGCUUCAUCAGUCUAGAGGGCAGAUUAGAGAAAGAGAUCAUGUCAUGGAAGAAGCCAUAGCUCAGAUUCGAGAGGUUGCUGAAUAUGUGCAAGACUUGGCUGUACGAGCCGACGUAUUGAGUAUGAUGUGUGGGUCGUCGUCAGACAUAGGAAGAGAGUUAGCCCUUUUAUUAGAUAGAGUUAAAACUUUAGGCAUUAGGGCGAAAGCAUACUUGUAAUCCAUUUAUAUGUAAAGAUAUUCUUUUUCUAAAUAAAGUUUUCUAAAUGAGAUUAAAUCGAGAUUGAUGCCUUUGCUGCAUUCAUACAUUUGCAUUACAUCAUAUCAUAUGCAUUUAAGGUUAUAGAAAGACUCUAAUUAGUUAAAGUUUCUUUAUAAGGUAGAAAAGAAAACUGGAAAUUACACAUCCUUACGGCACUCGCACUAAAACUAAGAACAUGGAUCAAAGGUUUGAGCAGUUGCAAAAGGAUAUGCAAGACCAGUUGCAAGAGCAGUUGGCUAAGAUGUAGAAUGAGAUGAGGGAACAAAUGAUGGAAGCUCAGAGGAAUAUAAUGGCCGAAAUGGCUCAGUUACUGAGGGCCACUGAUAAAAGAGGAAAAUGAGGGUCCUCCUCCAUGUUUUACACCAUCGCAUGUAUCAUUGCAAACUGAGGCACCUCCUAGAAGGCCAUCUACUACUGUGAGGCCUCAGCAUGGGCCAAUUGAUGCUGGUGUCCAUGUGAAUUUCCCAAUUGGUUCAGGACUUAAUAUGGGUGACAAUCUUACUAAUCCUCUUGUUCCCGAUCUAGAUAUGGUGGAAAAGGAGGAUUUGAAGGUCGAAGCUGCAAGGCAAUUGGAUGAACGCUGCAGAUGGUUAGAAGAAAAGUUCAAGGCCUUGGAAGGCACUGGCAACAAUCAUGGGGUUGAUGCCAAGGACUUAAGUCUGGUCCCAAACCUAGUAUUACCUCACAAAUUCAAAAUGCCUGAAUUUGAAAAGUACAAUGGCACUACUUGCCCAGAGGCCCACAUCACAAUGUUUUGUAGAAGGAUGACGGGGUAUGUAAACAAUGAUCAGCUGUUGAUCUAUUGUUUUCAGGAUAGUUUGAUAGGAGCGGCAGCCAGAUGGUACAAUCAGUUAAGCCGGGGUAGAAUAAGUUCAUGGAGGGAUCUUGCACAAGCCUUCAUGCAACAGUACAAUCAUGUAACAGAUAUGACCCCUGACAGGAUUACCCUGCAAAACAUGGAGAAAAAGCCUAAUGAGAAUUUUAGGCAAUAUGCACAGAGGUGGAGAGAGGUAGCAAUGCAGGUUCAACCACCACUGUUGGAGAAGGAGACCACUAUGUUAUUUAUUAAUACUCUGAAAGCCCCAUUUAUUACUCAUAUGAUUGGAAGCACUACUAAAAUUUUUGCGAACAUAGUUAUGGCAGGAGAGAUGAUAGAGAAUGCCAUAAGAGGAGGAAGAAUUGGGGGGAAGUAGUCAAAAGAUCAGCCCCAAGAAGAAAAGACAAUAAGGUAAACAAUACAAGUGGUUUUAACUCAAAAGAAGUCACAGUUAACCAGCCCAAAGUAGCCACAGUUGGGCAACAAGACUCUCAAAAGCAGGAAUCCAACACUAGGCAUGAGAGGAUGCAAUUUACACCUAUACAUGUGACGUAUAGGGAGCUCUAUCAGAAUCUAUAUGAUGCGCAUGCUAUAGCCCCUUUCCACUUAAAACCAUUACAACCUCCGUAUCCUAAAUGGUAUGAUGCAAAUGCCAGAUGUGAGUAUCAUACUGGAAUAUCGGGGCACUCAAUCGAGAAUUGUACUGGAUUCAAGAAAGCCGUAGAGAAGUUGAUCAAGAAUGGGGUUUUGAAAUUUGAGAGUACCCAAAAUACUGAGAAUCCUUUGCCGAACCAUGACAAUCAGGGAGUAAAUGCCAUUGGUGAAGUCGCUGAAAAAAGGGAAAAAGAAAAUGUUGAUGAGAUAAGGAUGCCUAUGAGGGUAAUCUGGGAGGAGAUGAUGAAGAGAGGUAUGUUGACCUCUAAAAAUACAAAAAGAAAGAACGUGGGACUACGGUGAGUUCCAUGAAGAUUGCGAGGAAUUCAAGACCUUGGUGCAAGGCUUCAUAGACAACAAAGAGCUACAGGUUUAUAAAGGUAGCUCUAGUGAAAAGCAAGUUUGUGUGCUGGAAAAUGAACAGCAAAGAACCGGUAGACCAAGGAUCAUUAUCUCCCUGCCAGGGAAUAAUGAAAUGGGGACAUCAGCAGCGCCCAAGGUUAUUAUCCAUACACCUACUCCUUUCCCUUACAAGGAUAGCAAAAAAGUACCAUGGAGUUAUGACUGUAGCGUGACGGUGCCGGGAGAAGGAAGCAUAGCCAGUGCAUCUAAGGAUGUACGAGAUAAAGGUUCCCAUACGCGGAGUGGGAAGCGUUAUGAUAUGGGGGACGUCAGAGUGGAGCCCACAAAACCCAAGAAUGUUGAAAUUGAGAAAAAGAGUGAAGUAUCUGUUAACGAGCCAGUAAGGGAGGAGGAAGCUAAGGAAUUUCUAAAGUUCCUUAAGCAUAGUGAGUACAGUGUGGUCGAGCAGUUGCGUAAGCAACCAGCACGCAUAUCGGUUUUAGCCUUACUACUAAGCUCUGAAGUGCAUCGAGAAGCGUUGUUGAAGGUACUCAAUGAGACAUAUGUUACUCAUGAUAUAUCUGUCAAUAAGUUGGAUCGGUUGAUAAAUAACAUCAAUGCUGAUAAUUUCAUCUACUUCAAUGAUGAUGAAAUUCCACCUGGGGGCAUAGGGUCAACUAAGGCUUUGCACAUCACCACUCGUUGCAAAGGAUACACGCUUCCAAGUGUACUCGUUGAUAAGGGGUCUGCUUUGAACGUCCUUCCAUUAUCCACAUUGAACAGAUUACCCAUUGAUAGUUCGCACAUGAAGAUGUGUCAUAAUGUGGUAAGAGCCUUCGACGGAACUAAAACGAAAGUAAUGGGACGAAUUGACAUCCCUCUGGAGAUUGGACCAAAUACGUAUGAAGUUGACUUCCUGGUAAUGGAUAUCAAGCCCUCCUAUAAUUGUUUGUUGGGGAGGCCAUGGAUACACUCAGCAGGAGUGGUGCCUUCUUCACUGCACCAAAAAUUAAAGUUGGUGACGGAUGGACGCUUGAUAACCAUCAAUGCAGAGGAGGACAUCAUAGCAGCUGUCACUAGUAAGCCUCCUUAUGUGGAGACAAAUAAGGAGGCUAUUGAGUGUUCUUUUCGUUCCUUAGAAAUUGUUAAUGCUACCUUCAUUUCAGAGGGAAGCGAGGUGCCGAUUCCCAGGAUGUCUAGAGCAACAAGGAUGGCCCUGCAAAUAAUGAUGGGAAAAGGAGCAUUGCCAGGAAAAGGACUAGGAAAACAGUUGCAAUGAGGGAUUCAAGUCCGAAAAUUGACGGAGAAGAAGGAUCGCUUUGGUUUGGGUUUUAAGCCAGACCAUAAACAAAAGAGACAGGAGAUGGAAAAGCGUCAAGCAAGAAGGAAGGCGCGUUUGAACGGAGGAGAAGUAGAGUGGGAACUGAUUACAUUCCCACCUAUAUCCAAAACCUUUAAGUCAGGAGGGUUGCUAGUAGAAGAGAGUCAUCAAAUCAAUGUUGUACAUAAUGAGUGGUUUGGACAAGAAAACCUUGAGGGUAUUCACCCUUACGAACCGGGGAGCUCUUUGAACAAUUCGACUGCGAAGGAUCUUUCUAUAGUCUUUAGAAAUUUUUCAGAGUAAUUCUUGAAACAUUUUUGUUACUCUAGGGCCUAGGAGUAGUAAGAUUACAUUUGCGAAAAUAGGCUCAUGUUCAUCUAUUAUUAUUCAAAUAAAACAUAACUUUUACCAAUUUAAAAGAGUAUUGUCUCAUUUUUAUCAACCAAUAUUCCUUUGAAUUCUAACAAUUCUUAUUCUUUUAUUCAUAGCACAUAAACGAUAAUUCUCAAAUUCAUUCAUUCUUUGUAUAUUCUUUCAUACCCCUCACAGGUCUCUAGAUAUCAAUGAUAUGAGCGCUAAUACUGCCGCUCCUGAUUUCUCUUGUGAGCAAGACAUGUGUUUAGAGGAGUCUCAAGAUUUUGAAGAUGUUCAAAAUUGUGAUGUAUCUCUUGAUCUAUUAAGAAUGGUAAAACAGGAGGAGAAACAAAUCAUGCCACAUGAAAAAGAGGCAAUAGAGAAUAUAGCCUUAGAGGAAGGGAAGGAGGUGAAAAUUGGAACACUGAUCGCUAAUGACACAAGGCAUAGCUUGAUUGAGUUGCUUCAGGAAUUCAAGGAUAUUUUUGCAUGGUCUUAUCAGGAUAUACCCGGAUUGAGUACUGACAUUGUAGUACAUCGUCUUCCGAUAAGACAAGAAUGUAGACCGGUCCAACAGAAGUUCCGAAGAAUGCGGCCAGACAUUGUCCUGAAAAUAAAAGAUGAGGUCAAGAAGCAGUUUGAUGCAGGAUUUCUUCAGGAAGUAAAGUACUCUGAAUGGGUAGCUAAUAUUGUACCAGUCCCUAAGAAAGACGGGAAAGUACGAAUGUGCGUUGAUUACAGAGAUUUAAACAAAGCAAGCCCAAAGGAUAAUUUUCCUCUGCCACACAUCGACACUUUAGUAGACAACACAGCGGGAUAUUCGUUGUUCUCCUUCAUGGACGGCUUCUCAGGAUACAAUCAGAUAAAGAUGCAUCCAGAGGAUAUGGAUAAAACUACUUUCAUAACAUUGUGGGGCACCUUUUGUUAUAAAGUGAUGCCGUUUGGGUUGAAAAAUGCAGGGGCAACAUACCAACGAGCCAUGGUAAACUUGUUUCACGACAUGAUGCAUAAGGAUAUUGAGGUAUACGUUGACAAUAUGAUUGCCAAGUCGCGAACAGAAAAAGAACACAUUGAGGUCUUGAGAGGAUUGUUCUUAAGGUUGAGGAAAUUUCAGUUGAAGCUCAAUCCAGCAAAGUGCACUUUUGGAGCUAGAUCGGGGAAGUUAUUAGGCUUCGUAGUCAGUGAAAAGGGAAUUGAAGUUGACUUAGACAAGGUCAGAGCCAUACGGGAGUUGCCUCCACCACGUACUCAAAAAGAAGUUCGAGGAUUCCUAGGAAGGUUGAAUUACAUUGCUCGGUUCAUUUCACAAUUGACUGAGAAAUGUGAUCCUAUCUUUCGUCUCCUCAGAAAGCACAAUCAAGGUGCUUGGGAUGAAGAAUGCCAGAAUGCUUUCGAGAAAGUCAAGCAGUAUUUGUUGAAUGCUCCAGUAUUAUCUCUGCCUAGUCCAGAUAAACCAUUAAUACUAUACUUGUCAGUGUUCAGCAAUUCUAUGGGAUGUCUGCUGGGUCAGCAUGACGAGUCAGGGAAAAAGGAAAAGGCAAUUUAUUAUCUCAGUAAGAAAUUCACUGACUGUGAAAUGAGAUAUUCGCCAAUUGAAAAGUUGUGUUGUGCGUUGAUUUGGACCACACGGAGAUUAAGACAGUACAUGCUAUACCAUACUACUUGGCUCAUAUCAAAAUUAGAUCUAUUAAAAUACAUGAUGGAAUCAACGGCUCUAAAUGGUAGAAUGGCGAGAUGGCAAAUUUUGCUUUCAGAGUUCGAUAUAGUCUAUGUAAGUCAAAGGGCUAUCAAAGGAAGUGCGGUGGAAGAUUUCUUGGCCAGUAGAGCUUUGGAGGAUUACGAGCCAUUGAAUUUUGAUUUUCCAAAUGAGGAGCUAAUGUGUAUAGCAGCAACUGAAGAUUCGCCAUGGAAGCUAAAUUUUGAUGGGGCUUCUAAUGCAGUCGGAAAUGGGAUUGGGGCAGUCUUGGUAUCCCCGAAUGGCGACCAUUACCCGUUCACGUGUAAGUUGGAUUUUGACUGUACAAAUAAUAUGGCUGAAUACGAAGCAUGCAUCAUGGGGCUCCAAGCGGCCAUAGAAAGAGGCAUAAAAACCCUGGAAGUAUAUGGAGAUUCUGCGUUAGUAAUCUAUCAGCUAAGAGGUGAAUGGGAGACAAGAGACCCUAAGUUGAUCAAUUAUCGAAUGGUAGUUUUGGGGUUACUAAGAGAGUUCGAUGACAUCACCUUCAACUAUCUCCCACGAGAUGAGAACCAGAUGGCAGAUGCUUUAGCAACCUUGGCUUCGAUGAUUAAGGCAAACAAAGAGGAAGAGAUGAGACCAAUUCAAAUGAGUGUCUAUGAAUUUCCAGCUAGCUGUUGUAACCUUAAAGAGGAAGAAAAGGGUGACAAUCCUUGGUAUCAGGAUAUAUUGCGAUAUGUAAGAGAUCGUAAAUAUCCACACAGGCAUCUGAAAAUGACAAACGAACCCUGAUAAGAUUAGCUUGUGACUAUGUUUUGGACGGGGAUGUUUUGUACAAGAGAAGGAAAGCCCAAGUACUUUUGAGAUGUGUCGAUGCUGUGGAAGCCAAGCUAAUUCUAGAAGAGGUCCAUGAAGGUGUAUGUGGUACGCAUGCAAAUGGGUUCACGAUGGCAAGACAAAUCAUGAGGUUUGGCUAUUACUGGGCCACUAUGGAAGGAGACUGUAUCAAUUAUGCCAAAAAACGCCAUAAGUGUCAGAUUUAUGGGGACAAAAUUCAUAUACCACCCUCAUCUUUACAUGUCAUGACAUCUCCAUGGCCAUUUUCCAUGUGGGGCAUGGAUGUCAUUGGACCAAUAUCGCCGAAAGCUUCGAAUGGACAUCGGUUUAUUUUCGUAGUGAUUGACUACUUUACAAAAUGGGUAGAAGCUACUUCUUACGCAAAUGUUACCAAGUCAGCUGUAAGUCGAUUUUUGAAGAAGGAAAUCAUUUGUCGGUAUGGAAUGCCUGAGAGGAUCAUAUCCGACAACGCAUUGAAUUUGAACAACAAAAUGAUAGCAGAGGUUUGCGACCAGUUCAAAAUCAAGCAUCACAACUCUUCACCCUAUCGUCCAAAGAUGAAUGGGGCAGUGGAGGCUGCCAAUAAGAACAUUAAGAAAAUAGUGGGAAAGAUGACUGAGACUUAUAAGGAUUGGCAUGAAAAGUUACCGUUUGCAUUCUUGGCUUAUCGAACAUCUGUUAGAACUUCUACUGGGGCAACUCCGUUCUCAUUAGUUUACGGGAUGGAAGCAGUUUUACCUAUUGAAGUGGAAAUACCUUCUCUCCGAAUUUUAACAGAGAUAAAGUUAGAUGAAGCUAAAUGGGUUCAGUAUCGAUAUGACAAGCUAAACUUGAUUGAGGAAAAGAGGCUGAAGGCUAUCCGACAUGGUCAGAUGUACCAGAAGCGUAUGAUGCGAGCUUAUGAUAAAAAGGUUCGUCCAAGGGAAUUCCAUGAGGGGGACCUUGUGUUAAAGAAAAUCCUCCCCAUUCAGAAGGACUUUAGAGGAAAAUGGAUGCCAAAUUGGGAGGGGCCAUACAUCGUGAAGAAGGCUUUUUCUGGUGGUGCAUUGAUUUUGACAAAAAUGGAUGGAAAGAGCCUACCCAAUCCGGUGAACUCAGACUCAGUCAAAAAGUACUUUGUCUAAAAGCGAAAAGGGCGCCUUGAAUUUAAAAAAAAAUAAAAAAAUAAUAAAAAAUAAAAAAAAAAUAAAAAAAAAAUGGAGAGGCCAAGGUGAAAACUCACAAAGGGCACCUUGUGACCAAAGGGAUUUUGAGUUGAAAACCCGAAAGGGCAGCUCAAAUUUUGAAGGGCACACAGCAACCUUGCUAUAUUUGACUUGACAGAGAGUGAGGCACAGUGUACAUUAGGGCAUCAACAAAGUACUUUGGAUCUUUUAAACACAUGUCGAACAAAAAGAGGGGGCUUCGAGGAGCUAAUGUAUAGAUGCUCAAGCAGCGAUAUUUAGAGCAUCUGAUUUUUAUCCUGUCUGCUAUCUUUAGAUUCUAUUUCUUCUUAAAGAUAUGCUAUCAGACUUAUUUCCUUUGUACUGUUAACAAUUUGAAUCCAAUUAUUCUCAAAGAUUUACUCACCUUCUGAUAUUUUUAAAGAAUGUUGCAUUGAAAUAAUGAUAGAUGAACUAAAAUUUUCACAAACGAAGUUUUGUACAUUACUUUGGAAUUUCUAGAUAAUGCAAGAAACUAAAAUAGGACAAUUGUUUGAGAAAUUUUCGUAAGUAAGGGAUGAAGGAACUUGAGGGAUUUCUUUCUUCCAAUCCAAAAAGAAAUGGAUGAUUCAAUUCUUACAGACAUCCUCAGUAGAUCAUAGCAUUGGAUGAAGGCCUACAAGCUGAAAUUUUGAGAAAGACAAAUGAAGGAAUGAAUAAUGACACCCGAGAUAGGGGUCAUAUUCACAGCACUUUGCAUCAUAACAUGUUAAGGACAUUCGACUCAUUUCAAUCAUAGCAUACUUAGGCAUAGGCACAUACUCAUCUUACAGGUCAUGAAGAUCAAAGAUUUCAACAUGGCAGCCCUGUGCUUAUAGGAAACAAAUUGAAGACAGCAGAUCUAGACUUCAGACAUUUAUGCUGAAGCAGAUCCAAGAUGAUUUGGUUUUCUUGUGUUUACAAGGAACAAAUCGAGGACAUAGCAGAUUUGACUCUUAGACGUUCUCAAAUAUAGCAGAUCUAACCUUCAGAUGUUUAUACUGAAGCAGAUCCAAGAUGAUUUGUAUUCUUGUGUUUACAAGGAACAAAUCGAGGACAUAGCAGAUUUGACUCUCAAAAGUUCUCAAAUGUAGCAGAUCUAACCUUCAGAUAUUUAUAUUGAAGCAGAUCCAAGAUGAUUUGGUAUUCUUGUGUUUACAAGGAACAAAUCGAGGACAUUGCAGAUAUGACUCUCAAAUGUUCUUAAACUAACUCAAGAGGGUUUAGCAUCCUUGUGCUUACAAGGGACAAAUCGAGGACAUAGCAGAUUUGAUUCUCAGACGUUCUCAGAUAUAACAGAUCUAACCUUCAGAUAUUUAUACUGAAGCAAAUCCAAGAUGGUUUGGCAUCAUUGUGCUUACAAGGGACAAAUCGAGGACAUAGCAGAUUUGACUCUCAAAAGUUCUUAAAUGUAGCAGAUCUAACCUUCAGAUGUUUAUACUGAAGCAGAUCCAAGAUGAUUUGGUAUUCUUGUGUUUACAAGGAAUAAAUCGAGGACAUUGCAGAUAUGACUCUCAAAUGUUCUUAAACAAACUCAAGAUGGUUUGGCAUCCUUGUGCUUACAAAGGAAAAAAUGAGGACAUAGCAGAUAUGAUUCUCAAAAGUUCUCAAAUAGAUCAAGAUGAUUUGGCAUCUCUACAAAUCGAAGAAACAAAUUUUGCGGGAAGUAGAUUGAAAAUUCAAGGUUCGACGAGCCCAGGCAAAAUUGGCUCUUUUAUAUCUUUGCUUUAUUCCUGUUAUACAGUAAUGAGCAAAGAGGGGCAGUUGUAAUACCUCAAUUUUUCCCCGCCCAUUGGAAGCCAAGGCAUAAUCAAAAUUUCAAAAUAUAAAGUCUUUUAACAGUCCUUUACCCAAAUACAAAAACCUAAACGGCAGGCCCAAAUACAAGAGACCUUACCCAGUUACAAUAACCAGUAGGCCCACUAUUACAUCCUACCCAGAUACACUAAAACUAAGACCCAUUACAACAGGCCCAAGUGGACCCAGGACAAAACGGGCCCAAGUGGCCCAGCUUGUUACACCAAGGCAUGAAACCCUAGGGUUUCUGCCUCUCUCCUUGCGCCGCAAACAGAAGGUUCUAGAAGCCAAGCCUCAUGACUCUUCAGCUCCUGCUGUUCCAGCUACCCCGUCAAGGCCAUGAUUCCAGGCCCCAAGUCACGCCGAGAUCAACGCCACCAGUGGACCAUCGUCAGGCCUUUGUUAUUGCCGGAUUUUUCACAAGUACCUGCAAGAAAAGGAAAGAAAAUCAUAGUAAACAUGCGAAGCAAAUACGGAAAGAAAUCGAUGAUUUCUUUCCAAAACUUGUAGUAGUAGAGUCUAUAAAGCCUUAUUUUUAAUCUGUAAAAGGACACGGAGGCAGAGACCAAAAAAUAUUGUACACAGAGUUUUUUUUUUUUUUUUGCAAUAAUAUACCAGAGAUCUUUUACAGAAGACAAAGGUGACAUAUUUUUAUUUUCGUUUCAUUCUCUUGAUCAUGAGCUUAUGCAUAUAAUAUAUUAAAUAGAUAGAGAGAGUAUACCUGGAGAAUCACCUUGAAAAGUGAAACUUUUCAAGAUCCGACCGUCGUGUGUGGCGGAGUCGGUGGCGGUGCGUGGAUCUCAGCGUGGAGGUCCG
rnacentral:lncRNA from 1 species